AGCAAAUCAGACUUACUCAAUAUAUGGAGUGGGCCUCCUAUCUUCUGAGAAGUUGGACAGCCUAGGCUUGCUGAAGAUUAAGAGACUGAGAGUGAAUUUGACUGGAAUACAAAUGGCUGAGGGGUCUUGGAAGGGUCGAUGUGGAAAGGUUGCUUCUUUGGGAGAAUGUCAGACAAUGGAGAUCACCAGCUGAAAGCUGAGGUGAAGUUUUCUCUCAGAGGCCUGAUGCACCAUCAAUAACUCACACUGAGACGUAGGCGAGAUAUCGGCUUUUAUUGACCGGAAGAAGGAACCAGGAGUGAGUGUCUAUCAUACAAGGUCUUGGAGACUGAGGCCGAGCGUCAGGCCGCAGGUCUCCUUUAUACAGGGGCCUGUGGGAGGAGCCACAGGAGCAGUCAGCAGGGGGCGUGUCCCGACAGGCACAUAGUUCACCACAAGGCCCGGGGCUCUUUUUCUCAAAAGCUGGUGGAAGCGGCAAGUCUGAGGAUUUUUAAGGGACUUAGCCAGCAAAGGUGUGACUCAUCAUUGCCAGAUGGGAAUGCAGAGAAAAUGGAAGACAAAUCCAAGAUGGAUAAACAACCUAACGAAGAUCAAAAGAUGCUGGAGGGCAGAGAAAGAGAGAAUUUGAAGUCAAGGUCGGAACCAGGACUGAAGCUGAACGUCCAGUUGCAGGAGGACCGUAGAAGUUUUGCGAGGACUGCACAGAAUUCAUUGAGCAUCUCAACGUGUACUCCUAUACGUUGGAAUGUACCAACUACCAGCUCCCUGUGCUGGAAGAGCAACAGAUUUCAGAGAGUCUAAAGCGCGCUUUUUACCAAGAUGAUCAUCUUCCAAUGGCAGUCAAUAUUUGCCUCAGCACAGUAUAGCCCACGAAGCCAUGUCUGAUUGCAUUGAACCUUGACAAAUCCUUUUCCAGACCUUCUUAGCAAACACACUGCACAAAGAGGUGGAUGGCAGUCCUAUCGGAACUACACCCACCUCAAGGUGGGACUGAGGAUCCAAAAGUACAUAAAGUGCUCUUCUCACCACCAGUCAGGCAAGAUCGCACUGACCACGUUAGAGAUCAAAUGAUAAGGAAUUCUGUUAAGUGGUGGUCUGCUCACUAACACCUGACAGGAUCUUCUUCUUUCUCCAAAGAGCCUCCAGAACAUUUCAUCUGGACUUUUGUAGAACUGAAUUAUUUUCAGCAGUUACUUCAAAGAAGGACAGGUGAUACAAUAUGGUCCAGCUGAAUGGAAUCUCCGGACAACGGAGCAUGGCCAAAUUUCAUAAACGGGACAAACAGAACCUCAACAAGUGGUGACACUUUACACUAAUACAGCCAGACUCUAGACACAGUCCCAUGAAGCUACACUAAUGGAGGCCAUCAGGAUGAGGGCCUCACUGCAUAUGCGUUUAUCCCCUUUUUCUGGAGAUUCGUGCACUAUGUCACCUCAGUCACAAUCCUUUUUGGCUCUCCUGAUAUUCUUCAACUGCAAACGUAUUCAUAAGACCAGCGAGAGUUAUUAGGAAAUACACGGGUUGGCCUCACUGAACCAGAAUCCAGUCUGUGGAGCAGGACAAAAAAAAAGUUCACGGUAUUUACUCCAAAAGAUUCUUAGAAGGAAUUAGGUCAUCAGCAAACUUCCGUAAGAGGCUGUAUCAGUAAUAUCUUCACAGCCAAACAUACCAAGAUUACAUAGAUCCUUUCAGCUGUACAACUGGGCAUGGAAAACCUCAGACCACAUAGAACUUCCUCCUCUCUCUCUCUCUCUCUCUCUCUCUCUCUCUCUGAUCCAUUAGACAUCAGCCAAGUGGGAGAAUCUCGACCAGCUAUCAUCCCUGGAGAAGCUGACCAAGUUCUAUCUGUUCCUUUGAAACAAACAUAAUUCCCAGAAACAACAGUUUACCAGCCAAGUUGCACUUGGCCCAGACCCACUGGAAUGAACAGCACUAUGCUCCUAGCUGGCGGCAAGUCAGGACCUGCGAAGACGGAUAUUAUCACUGUCAGCCACAAGUAGAAGAGGCUGGGAGAGUGAGAACAUCAGGAAUUGAUGACGCAUCUCACUACUGGAUGUGGAUUACAGGUGACUCCCACAUUACAGGAGGGUGGUAUUCCCAGUAAAUGGCCAUACUGCCAUUUUUAAUUAAUGCAAGACUUGUACGAUUGGCAAAAAAUCAAGUUGAAAAAUAUUUUUUUAAUUUACUUUUUUUCCAAAUAAAAAUAAAGAAAG